CUUACGGGACGACCCGUAAGCGUAUCUUUUAAUAACGGGGACGACCCCA
rnacentral:ncRNA from 1 species